rnacentral:rRNA from 1 species
CAUUAUCGUAACAAAAGCGUGAGAGGCGCAUGAAGGCUGUCGCCGGCUCGAAAGGGUCGUGCACGUCUGAAGGCGUCCUCUUGCGUGAAAUCCAUCUCACCCUUUUGUGCACCACCGCGUGGGCCCCCUCUGCUCGAGAGGGCUCGCGUUUUUAUACAAACCCCCUUUGUAAUAGUGUAGAAUGACACAACUUGUUUUGCGAUGACACGCAAUCAAUACAACUUUCAACAACGGAUCUCUUGGCUCUCGCAUCGAUGAAGAACGCAGCGAAAUGCGAUACGUAAUGUGAAUUGCAGAAUUCAGUGAAUCAUCGAAUCUUUGAACGCACCUUGCGCCCCUUGGUACUCCGAGGGGCACACCCGUUUGAGUGUCGUGAAAUUCUCAACCUCCUUGGUUUCUUCUGGAAGCCAAAGGGGGCUUGGACUUUGGAGGUCUUUGCUGGAACAUAAAAGCCAGCUCCUCUUAAAUGGAUUAGCAGGGUCCCCUUUGCCGAUCCUGGGCGUGUGAUAAGAUACCUCCGCGUCUUUGAAUUUGGCUCUGUUGCAUUUUGGGACCCGCUUCCAAUCGUCUCUCGACGAGACAACGUUCGAGCUUGCCUCGACCACAAACCCUUGACCUCAAAUCGGGUGAGACUACCCGCUGAACUUAAGCAUAUCAAUAAGCGGAGGAA